UUAGUUGGAUCAGGGAUUUUCCCUGAUGGACAACAUUGUCUUGUGGCAAGAUAUGCAGACUCCAGAACUAAACUCAGUUUGGGAGGGGGCCGCAGAGUGACCAUCAUUUACAGUACCUCAGUGAAGUGUAAGAGCUCCAGAGCUGUCCGGCAAAUUUUCAAAAGGAGAAGAAAGGAGGAAAAAGUCUGGACAGCAUUUGACUGUUUCAAAACCUGUGCCUCCUUGGAAAAGCAAAUUAAC